rnacentral:rRNA from 1 species
AUUGAACGCUGGCGGCAGGCCUAACCCAUGCAAGUCGAACGAGUGGCGGACGGGUGAGUAGUGUCUGGGAAACUGCCUGAUGGAGGGGGAUAACUACUGGAAACGGUAGCUAAUACCGCAUACCAUCAGAUGUUCCCGGAUGGGAUUAGCUUGUUGUUGGGGUAACGGCUCACCAAGGCGACGAUCCCUAGCUGGUCUGAGAGGAUGACAAGCCAAACUGGAACUGAGACACGGCCCAGACUCCUACGGGAGGCAGCAGUGGGGAAUAUUGCACAAGGGGCGCAAGCCUGAUGCAGCAAUGCCGCGUGGAUGAAGAAGGCCUUCGGGUUGUAAAGUACGUUCAGCGGGGAGGCGUUACCCGCAGAAGAAGCACCGGCUAACUCCGUGCCAGCAGCCGCGGUAAUUC